rnacentral:rRNA from 1 species
GCUAUCUACGGCAGCGGCGCGUGAGCCGCCGUGGAGCCGAGCCGCGCCUCCCUUCCUCGCAGCGCAUCGUCGCUGGCCCUGCCUGACUUCGUCCGCCGGAACCGGGACGGGACCAGAGAAGGGGCGGGUCAGCCGCCUCCGAGGAGAUCACCGCGGGAGGGCGCGCAACCGGUGGAGGGGAAUCUUGAGUGGUGGUGACCUCGAUCUCGGCGGAGAGAUCCCCGGCGGUGGGGGGCGGUAGAUGCCGGGAAGCAAGGGAGGCGGGUAGAGGAACAGAGGAGAGGAGAUUGGGGGAGUAAAAAAAUGGUGAGUACGAGAGACAAGUUGAUGAGAUUCAAGAGAGAGGGUGUGA